rnacentral:rRNA from 1 species
AUACGGAGGGUCCAAGCGUUAUCCGGAAUCAUUGGGUUUAAAGGGUCCGCAGGCGGUCAAUUAAGUCAGAGGUGAAAGCCCAUCGCUCAACGAUGGAACUGCCUUUGACACUGGUUGACUUGAGUUAUACGGAAGUAGAUAGAAUAAGUAGUGUAGCGGUGAAAUGCAUAGAUAUUACUAAGAAUACCGAUUGCGAAGGCAGUCUACUACGUAUAUACUGACGCUGAGGGACGAAAGCGGGGGGAGCGAACAGGAUUAGAAACCCGGGUAGUCC